GGCAUAUAGCUCAAUUGGUAGAGGGCUUGCCUGUCAUGCACAAGGCCCUGGGUUCAAUCCCCAGCACCA
rnacentral:tRNA from 1 species